CUCUCAUGGCUCACCUGCGGUACCUUCACAGCCCACCAGGGGGCCAGAACCCAUAGGCUGUACCUUUGUGACCCACCAGGGGUUUUCUGCAAUCACUGUAACCACUAUGAUGUGUACAUCUAAACUAUAUGGCUUUGGAUUACUACAAACAGCAUCAAAACUGCCUGAGUACCUUGUAGGUAGUACUGGCGUAGCCUGGGGUUUCUGAUGUGGGGGGUGUGGCUGAGGGGCCGGCCCACAGUGGGUUGGUUUUGGUCUUGCAUGUCCUGGUCCCCCUUAGUGGACUGUGGAGUCUGAGAGACACCAGCAGGAAGGUUGGCGUCUGACCUGGUCCUGACGUUGCCAAAGUAGCCGGUCCUGUUCGUGGCCUUGUUGUCCAUACCACCUAAAUUCUCUGGUCUCCUCACAGACUGAGCCAUUGCCUGUCUUUAGUCUCAAGCCGGCUCAAGUGGCAGUCGCAGAGAGGUGAAGAGCUCAACUGGCAUCCUUCCUCCU